UACGAAGGGGGGCUAGCGUUGCUCGGAAUUACUGGGCGUAAAGGGAGCGUAGGCGGACAUUUAAGUCAGGGGUGAAAUCCCAGAGCUCAACUCUGGAACUGCCUUUGAUACUGGAUGUCUUGAGUGUGAGAGAGGUAUGUGGAACUCCGAGUGUAGAGGUGAAAUUCGUAGAUAUUCGGAAGAACACCAGUGGCGAAGGCGACAUACUGGCUCAUUACUGACGCUGAGGCUCGAAAGCGUGGGGGAGCGAACAGG
rnacentral:rRNA from 1 species